GCGUUGCCAUAGUAAAAUCCUCGGCUCAUAACCGAGAGGAUGGUGGUUCGAUUCCGCCUGGCAGCA